GACGAACGCUGUUUGCGUGCUUAACACAUGCAAGUCGAACGGAAAGGCCCUGCUUUUGUGGGGUGCUCGAGUGGCGAACGGGUGAGUAACACGUGAGUAACCUGCCCUUGACUUUGGGAUAACUUCAGGAAACUGGGGCUAAUACCGGAUAGGAGCUCCUGCUGCAUGGUGGGGGUUGGAAAGUUUCGGCGGUUGGGGAUGGACUCGCGGCUUAUCAGCUUGUUGGUGGGGUAGUGGCUUACCAAGGCUUUGACGGGUAGCCGGCCUGAGAGGGUGACCGGCCACAUUGGGACUGAGAUACGGCCCAGACUCCUACGGGAGGCAGCAGUGGGGAAUAUUGCACAAUGGGCGGAAGCCUGAUGCAGCAACGCCGCGUGCGGGAUGACGGCCUUCGGGUUGUAAACCGCUUUCGCCUGUGACGAAGCGUGAGUGACGGUAAUGGGUAAAGAAGCACCGGCUAACUACGUGCCAGCAGCCGCGGUGAUACGUAGGGUGCGAGCGUUGUCCGGAUUUAUUGGGCGUAAAGGGCUCGUAGGUGGUUGAUCGCGUCGGAAGUGUAAUCUUGGGGCUUAACCCUGAGCGUGCUUUCGAUACGGGUUGACUUGAGGAAGGUAGGGGAGAAUGGAAUUCCUGGUGGAGCGGUGGAAUGCGCAGAUAUCAGGAGGAACACCAGUGGCGAAGGCGGUUCUCUGGGCCUUUCCUGACGCUGAGGAGCGAAAGCGUGGGGAGCGAACAGGCUUAGAUACCCUGGUAGUCCACGCUGUAAACGGUGGGUACUGGGUGUGGGGUCCAUUCCACGGGUUCCGUGCCGUAGCUAACGCUUUAAGUACCCCGCCUGGGGAGUACGGCCGCAAGGCUAAAACUCAAAGGAAUUGACGGGGCCCCGCACAAGCGGCGGAGCAUGCGGAUUAAUUCGAUGCAACGCGUAGAACCUUACCUGGGUUUGACAUGGAUCGGGAGUGCUCAGAGAUGGGUGUGCCUCUUUUGGGGUCGGUUCACAGGUGGUGCAUGGCUGUCGUCAGCUCGUGUCGUGAGAUGUUGGGUUAAGUCCCGCAACGAGCGCAACCCUUGUUCACUGUUGCCAGCACGUUAUGGUGGGGACUCAGUGGAGACCGCCGGGGUCAACUCGGAGGAAGGUGGGGAUGACGUCAAGUCAUCAUGCCCCUUAUGUCCAGGGCUUCACGCAUGCUACAAUGGCUGGUACAGAGAGUGGCGAGCCUGUGAGGGUGAGCGAAUCUCGGAAAGCCGGUCUCAGUUCGGAUUGGGGUCUGCAACUCGACCUCAUGAAGUCGGAGUCGCUAGUAAUCGCAGAUCAGCAACGCUGCGGUGAAUACGUUCCCGGG
rnacentral:rRNA from 1 species